UGGAAGAAUUAUAUGAUGGGGAGUCGGUCCUGCCCGGUGAAAAUUUUUUACGGCCGGGGUUCUCUGACCGUGCAAAGGUAGCAUAAUCAUUUGCCUUAUAAUUGAAGGCUAGUAUGAAUGGUUUGACGAGAAAGCAGCUGUCUCUUUACAAUUUGGUAGAAUUUUAUUUUUAGGUGAAAAAGCCUUGAUUGAAUUAAUAGGCAAGAAGGCCCUAUCGAGCUUUAGAGAAAUUAGUGGAUGGUUGAUUUUUAUUUAUAAAGAAUAUAACCUAUUAAAUUCUUUGGUUGGGGCGAAUAAGGAACAAAAAAAGCUUCCUUUAAAUUUAUUGAGAUAUACAAAUGUUGAUCCAUGGUUUAGUGAUUAAAGGAAUUAGUUACCGUAGGGAUAACAGCAUUAUCCUUUUUGAGAGUUCUAAUCGAAAAAGGGGUUUGUGACCUCGAUGUUGGACCAGAAUGUCCUAAAGAUGCAGAAGUCUUUAAGGGUU
rnacentral:rRNA from 1 species